rfam:Owenweeksia hongkongensis DSM 17368, complete genome.
GGGGCUGACCGGUUUCGACAGCAAGAUGAAAUGGGUCGUAAGCAUGCCGGAGUAUGAGGUUACCUUCCGAUAUCAAGGUUCUUCAAAUUAUAGUUGGCGAAAAUAACUUCGCACUUGCCGCGUAAUCACUCGAUAGAGGGUUACAGCUAAUCUCAGCGUAAGACGCGGGAGCAAGUCAUCUCUCAAACCCUAGGUCUGGUUGGGUUUGAUCAAGAGGUGUCAUUAAAUCCGGACUAGUAAGUGUAGCGUUGCGUACCACUUUCGAAACUCUAAUUCGUAACUAAGCUAUAGUUGGGGUGUUUGUUCCCAGGCUCUAGUCGAAAAUCUAAUGACAAAAUAAGCAUGUAGAAAGCUACUGAUUUCCUUGUUUGCACGUGGGUUCGACUCCCACCAGCUCCACAA